GAUGAAGAACGUAGCGAAAUGCGAUAAGCAAUGCGAAUUGCAGAAUUUCCGUGAGUCAUCGAAUCUUUGAACGCACAUUGCGCCCACUGGUAUUCCGGUGGGCAUGCCUGUUCGAGCGUCAUUAUCCUCCCUCAAACCCCGGGUUUGGUGUUGGACCCAAGUUGUGUGAACAACUGGUCUCAAAGACAAUGACGGCGUCCGUGGGACCCUCGGUGCAACGAGCUUUUAGGAGCACGCAUCGAGUUGCAAGGACCUUCCGGGCCGGUCUCCUUUACCAUUUUACAAGGUUGACCUCGGAUCAGGUAGGAAUACCCGCUGAACUUAAGCAUAUCAAUAAGCGGAGGA
rnacentral:misc_RNA from 1 species